CAUGCAAGUCGAGCGAGAAGCUAGCUUCGGUUAGUGGAAAGCGGCGCACGGGUGAGUAACGCGUGGGAAUUUACCUUUUGGUGGGGGACAACAGUUGGAAACGACUGCUAAUACCGCAUAUACCCUACGGGGGAAAGAUCUAUCGCCAAGAGAUGGGCCCGCGUUAGAUUAGGUAGUUGGUAGGGUCAAAGCCUACCAAGCCUACGAUCUAUAGCUGGUUUGAGAGAACGAUCAGCCACACUGGAACUGAGACACGGUCCAGACUCCUACGGGAGGCAGCAGUGGGGAAUCUUGCACAAUGGGCGAAAGCCUGAUGCAGCCAUGCCGCGUGAGUGAGAAGGCCUUCGGGUUGUAAAACUCUUUUAGAUGUGAAGAUGAUGACGGUAACAUCAGAAAAAGCCCCGGCUAACUUCGUGCCAGCAGCCGCGGUAAUACGAAGGGGGCUAGCGUUGUUCGGAAUUACUGGGCGUAAAGAGCGUGUAGGCGGCUAGAUAAGUUAGGGGUGAAAUCCCGGAGCUCAACUUCGGAAUUGCCUUUGAUACUGUCUAGCUUGAGAUUGCGAGGGGAUAGCGGAAUACCCAGUGUAGAGGUGAAAUUCGU
rnacentral:rRNA from 1 species